GAUGAAGAACGUAGCGAAAUGCGAUAAGUAGUGUGAAUUGCAGACUUUAGUGAAUCAUCGAAUCUUUGAACGCACAUUGCGCCCCUUGGUAUUCCAUUGGGCAUGCCUGUUCGAGCGUCAUUUACACCCUCAAGCCUAGCUUGGUGUUGGGCGUUGUCCGCAAGGACUCGCCUCAAAUUCAUUGGCAGCGGCAUCGUCAGCUUCUCGCGCAGCACAUUGCGCUUCAGAAGGCUUCAGGCGGGCUCGCGUCCACUAAGAUACCACCCAGUUUGACCUCGAAUCAGGUAGGGAUACCCGCUGAACUUAAGCAUAUCAAUAAGCGGAGGA
rnacentral:misc_RNA from 1 species